CACUGGAAUCCAAUGCCCACUUUUCUCAAGUUGAUAUGAAAUUAUAUAGAUUAUUAUAAGUAGAACUCGACAUGUAUAAAUGCAGCACAUUCAUGAAAUUUACUGCAUUGAUGGCAUAAUUGCUGAUCCGCAGGCACACUUUCAAUUUUGUUCACCUAACAAUAGCUAAUGGCCUCAAAGUCGUAAACAGUAAUCAAUUGAUAAAAAAAAUCAACCCACAUAAUUCUGACUUGUUCAAGACUUCUUGUUUUCUUAUAUUGUUUUCUGUCACUCAAGUCUUAGGAUUUGACAACAUUAUUUCUGGCUGUUAGAUUGUACAACAUAUUUGUUAUGGAUUGUGACAUCCACAUAAUACUGGAUUCAGCCAGAGAAGGCGGGGAUCCGUGGAUGCCAAUGAGGGAAGCAGCUUGGCUCGGGCCGACCAUGGCGCUAGCGUUGCAACUCGCCGCCAUCCUCCUUCGUCUCCCAUCCACAGCUGGCUCCAACCCCUCCUCUGAUGUGGUGCUAUGAGAGCAAGAAAAAGAGCAGACAUGCUCUGUAUCUACAUCCAGCGUCCACACAGCCAGAUAAUGGAUGUAAUUGUGUGCAUGGAGCUCGCUGAUCUGUGGUUCUUGUGCAACAGAGACCCUUCAGUUAGGUUAUAAAAUCCUUAAUUAUUGGAGCCAUUCAUAUGCAUGUAUCAUGCAUGUAUCAACGAAUGAAGGAAGAAGAUUUUCUUGUAUUACUUUAUGACUUUGUCUUUGAUCAUUGAAUGGCACACGCAUAUGCUGAUGUAUAAUGCUUGUUCUGGUAUAUAUUUGUUCUUUGGACACAUUGCACAUAGAGAUGAAUCUCUUAUUGCAUGAUUCUUUGAAUGUGUGUGUGUGUGUGGUUAUGAUAUAUUGAGCAUUUCUGUUAUAUACUUAUAUUAUU